rnacentral:tRNA from 2 species
GGAGAGGUGGCUGAGUGGUCGAAAGCGCGCGCCUGGAAAGCGCGUUUACUUUAAUCGGUAACGUGGGUUCGAAUCCCACCCUCUCCGCCA